rnacentral:rRNA from 1 species
GACAGAGGGUGCAAGCGUUAAUCGAAAUAACUGGGCGUAAAGCGUGCGUAGGCGGAAAAGUAAGUCAUAUGUGAAAAACCGGGGCUCAACCUCGGGACUGCAUGCGAUACUGCUAUUCUAGAGUGUGGUAGAGGUAAGUGGAAUUUCCGGUGUAGCGGUGAAAUGCAUAGAUAUCGGAAGGAACACCAGUGGCGAAGGCGGCUUACUGGGCCAAUACUGACGCUGAGGCACGAAAGCGUGGGGAGCAAACAGG